CCUAACGAGACAGUGAGAGAGAAGGGACAUGAUGAUGGAGCACACCCUAAAGGAGAACUGCAUUCCAUCCCCAUCCGUGUGGUCCUGCUGCAUUCAGCACAGCAAGAGGAAUCUGUUGCCCAAAUUCUGGACAUGGCUAAACAUUUGCAGGCCCCACCGUGUGCCAAGCACACAUUGCCUGGCAGAUAACCAAGGUUCAAACUUGGAACUCUUAGAAGAUAGGGAUGAUCCCUAGCACAGAAUUGGCCUGUCCACUUUUAAAGGCAUCUUCAGAGACUGCAAAAUUUGGGUUUGGAGGCUGCUGUUCUCCCUGCAUUGCCCUGCAUCAGAGUGUCUCUGCGUGCUCAGGGUGACAGCGUGCACUGCUUACAGCUCUCCAGCCUCCUGCAUGGCUUGUUUGCUUUUGUUCUAAAUACAGACAUUGUGAAUCUUGUAACUUCUAACCCAGAGAACAGUUCUGUUGGUUUUGGCUGCUGUGUGCAAUUCACAAACAGCGUGGAGGAUGGCAGGAGGUGCCACCAGGUGAACUUUGAAGCAGCCCUGGCUAACAGCAGCACGAAUCCAGGCAAAUAUACAAGUUGUCAUCCAAGGCAGCUGCUGAGAGAAAACGUACUGUCAGCAUUGAAGGAGGACAGCUUCCUUCACAGGCUUUUAUUAAAACUGGGUGACAUCUACAAGGAUACAGUACAAAAAAAAAAGAAGUUUGGUCCAUGGGAAGAAAAAAAAAUAACAACAAAACAAUCAACUUAAUAGUUAAGAAAAGCAGUUAUUCUGCAACAGCUAUGUUUGCCUACGCAGUGUUCAGCAUCCUUCAUGUGCAACUACCCUGAGGAGUCAAUGGGC